UACGGAGGAUGCAAGCGUUAUCCGGAAUGAUUGGGCGUAAAGAGUCCGUAGGUGGCUCGUCAAGUCUGUUGUCAAAGAGUGAGGCUUAACUGGGCGGGGUCCGUGGAAACUGGUCAACUGGAGGACGGUAGAGGCAAGUGGAAUUCCCGGUGUAGUGGUGAAAUGCGUAGAGAUCGGGAGGAACACCAGUGGCGAAGGCGGCCUUCUGGACAGUGACUGACGCUGAGACACGAAAGCGUGGGGAGCAAACAGG
rnacentral:rRNA from 1 species